GAGCUCAUGCUUCCACAGCCCAUGCACUAAAAUGGGAACAAUACAGAGAUUAGUGUGGCCCCCGAGCAAGGAUGACACACAAAUUGGUGAAGCGUAAAAAAAAAAA